rnacentral:rRNA from 1 species
UACGUAGGGGGCGAGCGUUGUCCGGAGUUACUGGGCGUAAAGCGCACGCAGGCGGUCUGUGAAGUUUGGAGUGACAGUUGGUGGCUCAACCACCAAAGUGCUUUGAAAACUGACAGACUUGAGGGCUUCAGAGGGACACGGAAUUCCGGGUGGAGUGGUGAAAUGCGUAGAGAUCCGGAGGAACACCAGUGGCGAAGGCGACACGCUGGGUCACACCUGACGCUAAAGCGCGACAGCAUGGGGAGCGAACGGG